UUGAAGGCGAUAAGAGGAUUUAUAUGGCAAGACGUUCAGUAACAAUUAGUUCUGUUUAUAGUUUCGUGCUCAACACAACAUACAGAAGACUCAUAGUUCGACAAUGGCAUCCAAAAUAAGUUUGGCCUUCCUCGCUGUCAUUGUAGUAUUUUACGUUAUGUCGUGGGAAACGCAGGCCACAAUUGUUCGAAGAGAUGCGCCACCAGAAAAGAAUGCUGCUCAAUCGAUUGAUGAAGCUUUCCAAUCUCUCAAACAAGGAAUUGACAAUUUUGUGAAGAAAGUUGAGGUACAUAUAAACUAGAAAAGUUAAA